GAUGAACGCUGGCGGCGUGCUUAACACAUGCAAGUCGAACGAUGAAGCCCAGCUUGCUGGGUGGAUUAGUGGCGAACGGGUGAGUAACACGUGAGUAACCUGCCCUUAACUCUGGGAUAAGCCUGGGAAACUGGGUCUAAUACCGGAUAGGAGCGCCUACCGCAUGGUGGGUGUUGGAAAGAUUUAUCGGUUUUGGACGGACUCGCGGCCUAUCAGCUUGUUGGUGAGGUAAUGGCUCACCAAGGCGACGACGGGUAGCCGGCCUGAGAGGGUGACCGGCCACACUGGGACUGAGACACGGCCCAGACUCCUACGGGAGGCAGCAGUGGGGAAUAUUGCACAAUGGGCGCAAGCCUGAUGCAGCGACGCCGCGUGAGGGAUGACGGCCUUCGGGUUGUAAACCUCUUUCAGUAGGGAAGAAGCGAAAGUGACGGUACCUGCAGAAGAAGCACCGGCUAACUACGUG
rnacentral:rRNA from 1 species